rnacentral:rRNA from 1 species
GACGAACGCUGGCGGCGUGCCUAAUACAUGCAAGUCGAACGCAGUGGGGACGGGGGAGUAACACGUGGGUAACCUCCCAUCAGAGGGGAUAACAGUUGGAUACAGGUGCUAAACCGAUAUUGGUGGGUGUACUCGCGGUGCAUUAGCUAGUGGGUGGGGUAACGGCUCACCAAGGCCACGAUGCUUAGCCGACCUGAGAGGGUGAUCGGCCACACUGGGACUGAGACACGGCCCAGACUCCUACGGGAGGCAGCAGUGGGGAAUCUUCGGCAAUGGACGAAAGUCUGACCGAGCCACGCCGCGUGAGUGAAGAAGGUUUUCGGAUCGUAAAACUCUUUCGUUAGAGAAGCGGUAUCUAACCAGAAAGCCACGGCUAACUACGUGCCAGCCGCCGCGGUAAUUC